rnacentral:rRNA from 1 species
UACGGAGGGUGCGAGCGUUGUCCGGAAUCAUUGGGCGUAAGGCGCGUGUAGGCGGCUCGAUAAGUCUGCUGUGAAAGUCCAGGGCUCAACCCUGGGAUGCCGGUGGAUACUGUCGAGCUCGAGUCCGGAAGAGGCGAGUGGAAUUCCUGGUGUAGCGGUGAAAUGCGCAGAUAUCAGGAGGAACACCAAUGGCGAAGGCAGCUCGCUGGGACGGUACUGACGCUGAGACGCGAAAGCGUGGGGAGCAAACAGG